GGUCCUACGGGGGGCAGCAGUGAGGAAUAUUGGUCAAUGGGCUUACGCCUGAACCAGCCAAGUCGCGUGAGGGAAGACUGCCCUAUGGGUUGUAAACCUCUUUUGUCGGGGAGCAAAUUCCGCCACGUGUGGCGGAGUCGAGAGUACCCGAAGAAAAAGCAUCGGCUAACUCCGUGCCAGCAGCCGCGGUAAUACGGAGGAUGCGAGCGUUAUCCGGAUUUAUUGGGUUUAAAGGGUGCGUAGGCGGACUGUCAAGUCAGCGGUAAAAUACGGGGGCUCAACCUCCGCCUGCCGUUGAAACUGAC
rnacentral:rRNA from 1 species